CAUGUAUUCUUUGUGUCUUGACAUAAAUGACUUGCUCUGUUGAAUGCAAUCGCAGAAGUUCUGUGCACGUUGUGUGUUUGGUGGUUUUCUUAAUAAGCUUUGUUCUAUGGGUGAUUUUAAAGAGUAGAAAGUUUUCAGUGAUGUUCAAUGUGCGUUUGGUUGGUUUAGAAAAUGGCAGUUGGCAAUCAACGUGCAAUAGACGAAGGAGAGUUUGUGACAGCUGAGAUUCACCCUUCAACUUUUCUCUGCAAAUAAUGCUUUAGAAACAGAUUUUUUUAGAAGAUUAAACUCAAAAUUUGUCUUUAUUACCCCUUAUUCCAAUUUUGCAGAAAACAAUACAUUUUCUCCAAGUUUGGAAAGCGAAAUUAACUUUAGACUGUUUAAGCAGACAUUAGCAGAUAUGCCAUAUCGAAAUCAAUCAUCUGCAAAAUCUAAGUGAAGGUGUCUCACUGCAUGUGUGUGACGUAUAAGAACACAGUUUUAUCUACACUCUAUUAUGCUUGACAGUCAUCGUAAUAUUUUGAAUUGCCGAGAUUUAAGCUGAAACUUGAAAGGAGAUCAAGUGCUGCACAAGUAUUAUGUUAUACCCGGAUUAGAGUUAUUACUCUACAAAAGUAAUUGUCAUUUGCACAUGCAUUUAGACAAUAAUGAUCAAGCAUGUGAAACGAUAAGGAACCGAUCAACAGCAGACACAACAAUGCAAAUGACCUUAGCUGGUUGCAAUAAACUCUAUGGAAGGUGAAUUGAGUAGCUUCCCUUCGAGCUUCUAUAACAUGGAGGUCAGCUGAGUAGCGUCGGUCUUCAAUGUAUUAUAAAAUCCUUUAGAAGAGCGAACUAAGCGACCCAGGCGGGAUUUUUAAGCAGCUGUAUCACAGGAAUUUAUAUUCGAUUUUUGUAUUUUAUUCUGCAUCUACAUUUUGUUUCACUGGCAGAUGAAAAUUGAUACAGAUUCACGUUAUGGCCAAAUCUGUAUAAAUAUUUACAGAAACAGCUGGCUCAAUGCUCCUGGCAUGUGAAUGAUAUGAUGAUGUGAUGACUUGCUUGGCUGAAAAGUGGGUUACUUGGUAACCAAAGGGUCCAUUUAGAAUACCAGCUGUAUCUUCAGCAAUAAACCCUUAAGGGGGGGUGUCGGUACCUUUAGUAGAAGUUAAAGGAGGGGAACUUGUAGAUGUUCUGAGACUAUCUUCCUUGUUGGAUGUUUUGUUGGGGCUGAGGGUGACUGUCAAUAUUGCUAGUUUUGGGUCUUGGACAGAAGCAGCUUGUUUUCGGAGGAUAAUGCGGCGUUUUUUCUCAGCGUAUGUUGGCUUCUGGACUCUUCGCCGUCAAGGACGAAGCGGACGCUUUACCUGUACUGGAUAUUUAUUGGAGUAUAAAGUUCUUUUUAUUAUCUAUACAUUCCCGCUCGAUGGAUUCAUGGGAGUCCUGUAAAAACUCUUCACGUUUCCUUCCAAUAAGGAUGGCCUGGCUCUUUGUCUUCUCCGACACACUUGCUUGAUAAGAACUUUGAAGAUAACCCUUUCAGCUAUCUAUGCCAGAAGUCACUAUCAAGCGUGGCGUAAGGUAAUGGCUCAUCCUAUCUCCGUUGUUUUUCAAUGUAUACUCAGAAAUAAUUAUCAAAGACGCACUUUCGGAGGCAGCGGUGGGCAUUGUCGUUAAUGGCGAAUUGAUAAAUAACAUGCGGUACGCGGAUGACACAGUUUUGUUGGCCUCUAGCUCAGAAGAUCUACAGCGAAGUUUGAACAGUGUGAUAGUAAAGUGCGACGCAGCUGGCUUAGAACUAAGCAUAAAAAAGACUAAAGUUUGAGUAAUUCGUAAACAGCAGAAUAUCAGAGCUAAUAGAGUCAAAUGCGUGCGCUUGGAAUAAGUUCAUCAGUUCAUAUACCUAGCAACGUUAUAACAGAAAAUGCAGAUAGCACCACAUCCGUAAGAUCAAGGAUAGAACAAGGAAGAGCUUACAGAAAAAUGAGCAACGUUCUAGGAUGCAGGGACCUAAAAUUAUCCCUACGAAUCCGACUACUGAGAUGCUACGUAUUCUCUACAUUACUGUACGGAGUUGAGGCUUGGACUAUCAACAAAAAUGAAGAAAGUCGGCUUGAAAUGUGGGCCUACAGGAGUGUUGGGGUGGCACUUUCCUGAGAUUGGUCAAAUCCAGUUCGUGGGAUCAAAAUGUACUGGUCUCACUCGGAUAAAUAAUAAGGAAUGUCAAGGAAUGAGCAAGGUUUGUUUUUUUUUUCUGGGUUUAUUGUGAUUUUCCAGGUUUCGGACCAAUCCUGGAAGGCGUCGAGUUGCUUUUGGAGGGGCAAACGAUAUAUUUGGGGUUACGGUGGGAGUAGCGGAGGCCAGUGUCGUCGGCGAAUAGGGCUAUUCUAGUGUGCGGGUUUUUGGGGGUAUCGGUCGUGAAUAGUUUAUAAAGGAUUGGGGAGAGCGGGGCGCUUUGGGGGACCCCAGCCUCGAUGGACCGAUUAGAGAAUUUGGUUCCGUUCAGUGCUAUGAAAGGGUCUACUUGCUGGGCUGGUGGAAGCUACCGCUUUUUUUGUCCGUCAAUGGUGCGGAGACGGUGGAGAGAUGGGGGACGUAUUCUCUCAUCCAGUUGCAGGUCCCCAAGAACCCUUGCAUCUGCUUGAGUGUUUUGGACCUUGGGAAAUUGUAAAUCUGGACCAGGUGUUUUUGAUGCACCUCUACUGUGGAUCCAUUGAUAUGGUACCCAAGAUAAUCCAGGUUGUCCGUGGUUAGCUGACACUUCUGCGAAAAUUUUUAAAUUGUGCAGCCGGAGCCGCUCGAAGACUAUCUUGAGGUGUACCGAAUGUUCUUCCAGCGUGUCGCUAUGGAUUAUUAUGUCGUCUAAAUAGACGAGCUCGCUGGAUCCUAUUAAUGCUAACAGGACUUCCAAAGUCAUCAGCUUCUGGAAGGUGGAUGGGGCGUUUUUUUAGGCCGAAACGCAUCACUACAAACUGGUAGCUUGCACCAUCACGGGUCGAGAAGGCGGUAUAUGCGUUUCUGAGAAAACCUUUGAUGUGGACAGGGCCUUCAUUCCGGGAACACUUGGGCACAAUGUUACAGCCACUUGGGUUAUUCGGGAAACUUUAACUUGGAAAUCGCGUCUAGGAAAAACCGAACUUUCUCUAAAGAGCCGUUGCUCUGAGCGGGAUAAGAUGGUGCUCAGGAAAAAUCAACCGUACACGACUAGGUGAGCUCAUCGACUGAUCCCUUGAAGUCCUUUGAACAUAUUUUAUUCAGCUAAGUUCUACACCCUUCCUACUGCUCCUUAUCUACCAGUCCUUAUGUCUCACAUCGUUAGAGUGUUUAAUACUGUGUAAAAAAGAAAAAAUUAACAUCGUUUGACUUAAUCUACCUUAACAUUUUUUUAAAAAGAGGUUUGGAAAAUCUGCUUCCAGACGCCCCAGGCAUUGAUGGUCUAGCGCCUGGGGUGGUAUGGGGCUCUUACCCACUAAAUCCCUUUCCUCCGUUUGCCUCACUACACCUGGCACUCCUCCUAUUGGGAUAUUCUUUAGAUGAAGUAAGGUUGACUGUCUUUUUUCUAGUUCCUGUUAUUUUCUUUCUUCUCUCUCCUUUGUUUCAACUAUUCUUUCCAUAAAUUUUGUUAUUUUCCUCUAGUUGUCCUUAUUGUCGAUCAUUUUACUAAUUAAAUUGUAUUUAUUUAGACUUCCUAUAUCUAACUCCAAGUUACUCCUUAGGUUUUCAAAUCUUUCGCAUUGCGAAAGCAUAUGUUCCGCGUCAUCAUUGCCGGAAUCCUCAUACAUACAGCGGGGGCUGUUUCUUCUUUUAUAUUUAUGCAGGUAAGUUGAAAAACACCCAUGGCGCAAUAAAAAUUGUGUUACACUGUAAUUUAUGGUUCCGAAUUUUUGAUUUAUCCAUUGCGAGAUGUCCGGUAUAAUUUGUCUUGUCCAAGCUUCUUUCUCACUGAUUUGCCAUCUCUCCUGCUACUCUUCUAAAGUGUUUUGUCUCUCCUCGAUGUACAUUAUUUUCUUCUCUUCCUCUGUCAUUAUCUGUCUUUGACGGGAUUCUUCAAAAAUUCUGGCACGUUCUUUGGCUAACAUAGUAAUCGGUAUUUGUCCUGUUAUAAGAGAGCAUCCGCAGAUACGGUGUGAUAAGCACUAGCACAUCGUAGCGCUAGCAUUCUCUGGCAAGUCUGCGUUCAUUACGGGAACAUCAUGUAUGAUGAAGUCAUGAAAUUAUCGAGAUACGUAGAAG